GUAUUGAAAAGGGAGAAAAGAGGGAGGGGAAAAAAAGAAGGGAAGGAGGAAAGAAGUAAGAAAAGGUCUUGUAUGUUAGGGAAACAACCUGGGGCUGAGGCAGCAUUUUGAGACUGGCUAUUUUAACCUCUCCCUGUAUGCGUUCAUUCACUUAUUAUGGUAGUAUUUACUGUCUUCCUCUUCCCUUGGUUUGGGGCUGAACUGGGUUAUAUGAGCAAAACUGGGAGAUAUGCCUUCCAGGUUUACAACCUUAUAACCUUGGAGGCAAGGCAGACAUGGGGGAAAUGAUCCUUUAAACAGGUAAUGCAUUUGUCAGGCUAGGCGUUUUGAAGAGACUGUGAUUUGUGGAAAGAUAGGCGUGUCAGCUAGUUAGAGAAGUAGCUUUUGGACUAGCAUAUGACAGCCCCAGGACAGGGACAGAACUCUAGAGUGAAAGAGCACAGUGUGGGCUGUGCACAGACAACUGAAACUAAAGUUUAAAGGGGAUUGGGGACUAGAGGUAAAAGAGGCAGAGGAGUAUAGUCAGGCCAGGUAGCCAGGGCAGGCUUGUGCUAUGGGCAGCUGGAAUACUUUCUGAUUGACUAUGUCCCUACGCAGAAAAGGGAGCCGGAAUAAUUGUUUUUGUCUUCGAAAAGGAUCUCUCAGCUUUGGGAAGAUAGUGGCUUAGUAUAGGUGGAAGAAGCAGGGUCAUCAGGAGAUGACUAAGUAGUACAGACUUCAGGUGUGGUAGAAUUGUCACAAUGAAAGUUUUGCAGCAUUGGCUACAGGUAAAUUCCUCCAAGGAGUCAAAGUUCAUUUCCAGAGUUUGCAUUUAAUUAGUAAGAUUUUUUUAGUGGUUAUACAGCUUUCAAGUGGUAGCACAGGACUUACAAUGCAUACAAACAGUUUCACUUGAGAGUGGGAGUUCCUUGAAAUGGUUGUGAAUACCUGAGGCUUCAGGUUAUCAGUGUCCAGUCACCCUGGGAAUGACUGUGUUAGGGCAUUUAUCCCAGAAUGAUAGUUUGGCCUCUAAAUGGUUUAGGGUUUUUCUUGACAGUGAGACACAAAUGCUCCUGGCACACCAAUUAUGUCCAAAAGGAGGUUGGGCAUCGAAGAAACUCGUUAUGGAGUUUGCCUUCAACAUGGCAAAAUUAGCCCUUUGGGCAAGAAACUGCUCUUGCCUGGACUGUUUGUUGCUGUAUAAACUGGACAGGCAGGACCCAUAAGAAAGUGACUGCUGAACUUACAAAACAAAAUGAACAGUCCUGAAGGGUUCCUGCUGAAAUGGAGAAGUCUGCCAGACACACUGUGGCCUAUAGGCUGAAGAUGGAUGCCCCAACUUUACAGGGGAACUUCAGGUGCCUGUCCAGGCAGGGAGAUGUCUCUGUCGGUUCUAGAGUUUAUAUAUUAUCCUUCUGUGGUCUUUGAUGGAGUUGAAGAUACAUGUUAUGGUUAUAGUUUUCUUCAGUUAUUAUAAAAGAUAAAUUACCCUUCUUUUUAUUUAGACAAAAAAGAGAUGAUGGGGAAUGGCCUUCUGUGUAUAUGUUUAUCUUAUUGGUUGUUGAAUAAAGCACUGUUGGCCAAUAGGGGAGCAAGAUAGGUGGGACUAGGAGUUGAGGAGAAUUCUGGGAAAUGUAGGAAAGAGAAGUCUGGUGAUCCAGGCAGGAAGUCACAUAGCAGGCAGAGUCAGAAUUUAAGCAAGGACAAGCAGGAAGUCAUUCUCUUUCUCUUCCUCUUCCUUCUGCUCUCUGCUGUGGAGCCACCAUGUGAUCCCGGGAAGAAGACACCAGUGGAAGGCAUUCUCAAUAAGUGUUUUUGUCUAGGUCGAUACCACAUAGAAAGCAGCACAGCAAGAAGGUGAUUUGUUCUGAUGCCCAUUAAUAUGAAUGUCAUGAAACAAUAUGAAUGUCAUGCACCCUCUAACUAAAUACAUUAUGGGAUGUGUUUCAUUUGUUUUCCUGUGUGUGACCCUUUGGAGGAGUUCAGAACAACUUUUCUUGUGAGAAGACUCACUGAGGGAAUGUAGUUGGGGGACAGUACAAUUGUGCCCCUGCUAAGGUGACGUUUCUUUUCCCUGGGCUGUUUCCAGUCAAUGACUGAACGUAGCUGAGUUAACCAGGACCAGGACUCUUUCAGAGUCAGCCAUGGCAUGGGCAUCCACAUUGGCUUGGCUCAGAAAUUCUCAGAGCUGCAUUGUAGUCUGAAGCUUUUCCUUCCCAACUUCCUUCUUCACAGAUGUUGCAUGUGUGUUGCUGCCUCACAGAUGUUGUAUGUGUCUUGUUGGCUCACAUGUAGUGCUGGUUCUCAGAUGUUGCACAUGUAUUUCCAGCUCUCAGAUGUUACAUGUAUAUUGCUAGCUGAAGUUCUCUCUGCCUCUGUGCUCCUUGACACCUUAUCCUUCAUCGCCAAGUUCCCCAAUAAAUAUCUCCAGCAUUUAAUCCUGUCUUGGUGUCUGCUUCUUAGAAAGCCUGAAUUGUUGCAGGAGGUUCCAGCAGCAGCGGUCCAGAAAACAUUCAUGAGAAGGGAUCCAGGGACUGGCUCACUUAUUGCCUUGUUGACAAGAAGAAUUACAUCCUGAAAGGAAUAUGGGAUAGGUCUGCUCUGCAGCCCAAUUGACAAAGAAUUUACCUGUGAUGACAAGUGGAAAAUGUCUAGGUGGAGAAUAACAUCUUUACCAGUUUGAUCAUUCAGGUAUUUGUAAGCUAUGGGAAUAAUAUCUAUAAAAACCACAAGGUUGUCUGGUUAUUACUAGAUUAGUUGUAUUGAUGCUUCUGGGGAUGGAGUGAGGAAUACUUCAAUAAACAACAACAAUAACAACAAAAGAACAACACUCAGCUUAACCAUCAGUGAAAAGCCUGUGAGAGACAGAAGCCACAGUACCAGAUGGAGAGGUCCUCAUCCUGCCCUCAAUACCUGAUGGAGAGGUCUUCAUUCCUGCCCUCAGUACCCCAUGGGGUGGUCCUCAUCCUGCCCUCAAUACCCAUGGAGAGAUCCUCAUCCUUCCCUCAGUAUCCAAUGGAGAGAUCCUCAUCCUGCCCUCAGUACCCCAUGGAGAGGUCUUCAUCCUCUGUAGUUGAAGAUAAGACACAGAUGGGAAGCAGCCCAGUAUAAUAGGAUUUCAGAAUUUGGGGUACAAGUAAGUGCUUAGCAAAGGUGUUUGCCUGCACGAUGGCAGAUGUGCAUACCUGUUAGGGGACAAUUUGUGGGAGUUGGUUCUCUCCUUCUAUCCUGUGGAUUCCAAGGAUCAGACUCACGUCACCAGGCUUGGAGAAAUAUACGAAAUCAUUCAUAUGGAGAGGCCAUCAGACAAUCUGACACAAGUCUGGGAAAUGGAAUGACAGAGACAUCAGGGCAGGCAAGUUGAUUUAGCUUGCUGUCAGGCCUCAUGACCUGAAUUAGAUCACUAGACACGCAUCAUGGAAGAAGAAAACUGAUUCCCACAAGUUACUCUCUGACCUCUACACUGGUGCAAUGACAGGCGUGUACAUGCACAGGAAACUCCUUAAGCAGAAGACAAACAAUUCAGAAUAACUUCAGGAAGUCCUUGAAACUGACCAGAUUUACUAGGCCCCUCCCUGCCAUUAAAGCUGAGAGUCCCUUUCAGAAGAUCUGAGUCAUGCAGCAAAGAAGACUGGCACCACCCAAGCCCCAUAGCUGAGCUGCAAAGACUCUGAGACCAGACCGGCUGUCUGCAAGAAACAGAAACCAGUGGAGCUGCAUGGAAGAGGUUGAGACUGAAGCACCUGGAAAGGACACUCUCCGACCCGUUGAACUACCUGAAGGCUGUGCAAUGUGCUCUAGGUUCCCAACUUUGUGAGUUGUCACUUGUGCUAGAGUGAGCUUCAGUGAUGCAGCUGUCUUUGGGUCAUUACUGUUCCUUUAAAUAACCCUUCACCCAUAUUCCUGUAAGUAACCUCAAUAAAACACAUUAAUUUGCCAAAUAAAA
ensembl:lncRNA